rnacentral:rRNA from 1 species
AUUGAACGCUGGCGGCAUGCCUUACACAUGCAAGUCGAACGGCAGCACGGGAGCAAUCCUGGUGGCGAGUGGCGAACGGGUGAGUAAUAUAUCGGAACGUGCCCAGUAGUGGGGGAUAACUGCUCGAAAGAGCAGCUAAUACCGCAUACGACCUGAGGGUGAAAGGGGGGGAUCGCAAGACCUCUCGCUAUUGGAGCGGCCGAUAUCAGAUUAGCUAGUUGGUGGGGUAAAGGCCUACCAAGGCAACGAUCUGUAGUUGGUCUGAGAGGACGACUAGCCACACUGGGACUGAGACACGGCGCAGACUCCUACGGGAGGCAGCAGUGGGGAAUUUUGGACAAUGUGCGCAAGCCUGAUCCAGCAAUGCCGCGUGCAGGAAGAAGGCCUUCGGGUUGUAAACUGCUUUUGUCAGGGAAGAAAUCCUCUAGGUUAAUACCCUUGGGGGGAUGACGGUACCUGAAGAAUAAGCACCGGCUAACUACGUGCCAGCAGCCGCGGUAAAAC